rnacentral:rRNA from 1 species
AUGCUCCUGCCGGGCCCGAGACCGGCAGCUGCAGGCGAGUUCGUUCCGAACCCCGCUGGCGCUGGCCAUCAACCGGAGGAGGGAGAGGAGGAGGAUAUGACCCCCGAGACGACCAAGUAUUACAGGAUGCUCGAGAGCGAGGUCGAGCUGGAGGAGUACGGGCACAGGACCGCGGAGGGCAUAGCGAUGUAUGCCCGGUUCCGCAAGGAGCUGCUAGAGAUGGAGUACGGCCUUCGAGAGCUCCGGGAGCAGAAUGAGAGGGACGACAUUAAGCGGCAGCGCGAAGUGGACGCCACCAUCCGCUUGUCGCGUCGGGGCCAAGAGGAAGAGGAGGACGAAGAGGAAGCUGAGGAGGAGGAGGAAGAGGAUGAAGACCUCACGGAAUCAGUCGAGGAGAUGGCCAUGGAGAUGGAGGGGGAGGAGAAGUUGUUUGCUUUGGAACGUAAAGGCUGGGAGUCUGCAUGGGGAGACGAAAACGACUUCGAAGACGCGACCGUGCUGAGCCCUAUGCACUUUACAUACUGCACGCCAGGAUUGAUCCCGUUUGUUGCUAGGGCCGCGAGCACCUUGCAGAUCUACUCCAUCAAGAUUAUUGGAGCAAGUAGGAAGUUGGAGUGGCCACUCUAUGUGUAUGGGGUUGUCGCUGCCCGAGACGACGUGGACUACAACCGCAACAUUCUCUUCUCUCGGCGGAGGGAAGACUGCCAAAAACUCACUCCAGAGGAUCCAUUUUUGUGCUUGACUGGCCCGUCCCGUGCGAUUGUGUCCAUGGAAUAUGCCGAUUUGGAAGUCCAGCUGAAAGUAAAGGGUGAAACAAGGUCUAGUGAUAGAGCAUUGAUCACCCGUCGGUCCACUUACUCCGGUGGUUACCAUCAAGGUUUGGAGACCAUGAACUUCAGCAACUGCUUUUGCACGGUAGAGUUGAGUUUAGAGCGGCUUACGGAAACUGUCCAGGCUACUAUCUUGAGUGUCCGUGUUGACGAAGAGGGGCCAUGGCCUUUUGAACAUGGCGGACGGAUUAUGUGCUCCUCACCACCACACGAAGUUAAAGACCCCCUAUCCAGGCAAGUUGUUCUGGUUGAUUCUCAUAGUUGUGAAGGUGGAGAAAUGCCAAUGGGCACAGCCGGUUACAUUGAUCUGUCAAGGCGUGUUGUUUCUGUAAAAUUGGAAGACAACCUGCAAUUUGUCAUACAAGCCUACUCGCAGUCCGGCGCUAUUGCUAGACAAAGUAGUGUCACAUUCAGGACCAAAUAUUGCAAUGUUAGCCGAGGUAUAUGCAAGAUUGGUGACUCUGUGGUGGAGAUUACUAUUGCUUGGUCCCAUAUUGUUAAGCACAAGAGGGAAAUACACUUAGAAGGUCAUGUUUUGGGUGGCUGGGGAGUUGUAAAACAUUGA